UACGUAGGGUGCAAGCGUUAAUCGGAAUUACUGGGCGUAAAGCGUGCGCAGGCGGUUGUGCAAGACAGAUGUGAAAUCCCCGGGCUCAACCUGGGAAUUGCAUUUGUGACUGCACGGCUAGAGUGUGUCAGAGGGGGGGUAGAAUUCCACGUGUAGCAGUGAAAUGCGUAGAGAUGUGGAGGAAUACCGAUGGGCGAAGGCAGCCCCC
rnacentral:rRNA from 1 species